rnacentral:rRNA from 1 species
CCUACGGGCGGCUGCAGUGAGGAAUAUUGGUCAAUGGGCGGGAGCCUGAACCAGCCAAGCCGCGUGAGGGAAGAAGGUACAGCGUAUUGUAAACUUCUUUUGUCAGGGGACAAAGGCGGGGACUAGUCUCCGGUUGAGGGUACCUGACGAAAAAGCAUCGGCUAACUCCGUGCCAGCAGCCGCGGUAAUACGGAGGAUGCGAGCGUUAUCCGGAUUUAUUGGGUUUAAAGGGUGCGCAGGCGGCCUGUUAAGUCAGCGGUGAAAUCCCGAGGCUCAACUGCGGAAUUGCCUCUGAUACUGUUCGGCUAGAGAGUAGUUGCGGUAGGCGGAAUGUAUGGUGUAGCGGUGAAAUGCUUAGAGAUCAUACAGAACACCGAUUGCGAAGGCAGCUUACCAAGCUACAUCUGACGUUGAGGCACGAAAGCGUGGGGAGCAAACAGGAUUAGAUACCCGGGUAGUC